rnacentral:tRNA from 1 species
AUUCUUUUAGUAUAAAUUAAUAUAAUUGACUUCCAAUCAAAAGACUCCAAAUUGGAAAAGAAUA